UUGCCAGGCAUUCUUUUUGACUCUUUCUUUUUUUGCUUUAUCCCAGUAUGGGAACUGUUAGGUCACUGCCUGGACCAGUGAUUGAGCACCUGGUGAGGGGUGUAGCCUGCCCUGCGAGCACAGGUGGAAGCAGUUCACCUGUGGGAUUGGAGGGGGUGGAGCCUGGCUGCAUCCCUUCCUGAGCUCAUUUAAGGGCUGGCAGCCAGAGGGGCAGUAUUUCUGACUGGAGGCUGUCUCCUUUGGGCUGGGGGGGGUUGAGUUCUGGUCCUUGGGAAGGUGUGAGCAAUUACUUUUUUGUUUCAGGGCUGUGAUCUCUGUUUUCCUUGUGCAAUCUGAAACUGCUUUAAAGCAGCUGUAUCUGCUGUGCGUGUUCCUACAAUGCCCUUUGGUUCUCUAAAGGAGAUGAAGGGGUUAUCUCCCUUUCUCAGACCUGGUGAUGGAGGGGCUGAUGUACAUUCCUUCCUUUCACUACAGCCUCGUUUCUGGAAUGCUUCAAUUAAUCCCCAGGUAAUGCUGGUCAGCUAACAGAGUCUUGCAGCUCUGGGAAUGCCUGGAGCUGCUGCCCUGUUCCACAAAGGUGUUCUGCAUUCUCAGGAUAAUGUUUGUGCAGCUUUUUAAGCUCAUUACUUUCUGGUUGAUUCUCUGUUUCCUCUUUCAUGAUUCUUACUUUAUUAUAUCCAACCUGGGUCUCCAAACUCAGUUUGUCUACUGCCACAUUGUCCCAGCCCUUUUUGUGACUGCAGUGAACGGUACCAUGCAUUAACUCCACUCAAACAGGGAGUUGUUUAAGGCUGUUCUGUGCAUCAUUAUUAUGUACUAAGUUAUGUUCUGUGUUACAUUCUCUUUAUCUCAUCCCAUUUCAUAGCUCAAUGGAUGAGGUUUAAGGAUAGCUGAGGCUCCUCUAAUUAGUGGUUAUGCACUGUGAAAUCUACUGGAUCAGGUAAUGGAGCAUCCCAAGCCCAGUGUUUGUGCGUUGCUUGUAUGCAGGCAGCUUUAGCGAUGGCUGUGGGAGGCUCACUUAAAGAUGGAAUGGGGGUUACAAGGGGUUCACCUUGCUCCACAGGGUCCAUUCUCCCAGCCUGAUAAGCUACGUGGCUGGUGAUAGAGCAAGGUGCAUCGGCUGGGUCCUAAGCUGAAGCAAAUUCCCAGACCCCAGUAGCCAUUGGCUUCAUCCUUACUCAGCAUAAUACAGUCUCCACCACUCGAGCAUGCUGACCACAAGUGUUCUGCUCCUGUUUUGCCUGGCUCUCUCCCAUAUCUCCCUUAUAAACUAGUCAAUGGUAAUGGGUCCCAGGGUAUAGUCCUCAGAGCACCUUGUGGCUGAUCACCCCGGGGUCCUAUGGUUCUUUGCGUUUUAACAGCAGAUCUGGCUUCACUUUUACAGGAAAGAAAGGAUUGUUCUCUUCCCGACCACUGUAGUUGGGAUCACUCCAGGUGUCUCCAUCCCAGUUCUCAGGGGGUGCUAUUAGUUUCCUAAUCUGUAUGAUGCCUGAAACCCCAUCCUCUGACCCCCAUUAUGUAGCUAGCUCUGCAGCUGUGGGACCUGAUGGUGUGACAGAACGAGGUCCUCAGUCUGCUGAAUACUGGGACUGGCACAGAGGGGCUCUGUGACAGAUGUGGAUCAUCCUGACUGGAGUACUCGGUGAGUUUUCCAGUGCUGCUGAGCACGCAGACUUCCCUGCCUGCUCCAACCAUUCCCUGGUCACCAAACUCCUUUGCGUCAUCGUGUCUCACAGCCCCAGGCGUCUCUCUAUGGCACUGCUGGUGCCAGCGGAGAACUGCGGUGCCUGUAGGUGGUGCGCGAACUGCGCGGAGAGAUCUGUGGCUCUUCAUGAAGUCAGCUAGAAACAGAAAGCUGGAUUCCCUGGAAUGCCCUGGAACCUGACUUUGACUGGUAACUGGUUGCCCAUACAGGUAAGGGCAAUGUACACCUACCAGUGUUUACCCAUUAUAUAGUGUGGCUCAACGUAGUGCUCCCAGAGCUUGUUACUGCGCUUAAAGGUUCCCUACAGGCUGCUUGUCCUCUUCCUCCUGCCUUCUCCAUGCCUCUGGCCCAUCUAAUCCAGAGAAUGCACCCCCUCUAUAUUAGAGAUUUCACCAACUGUCUUUGAGGACAGCCUGGAAUCAAAAUGUGUGGGCUGUCAUAGCUCAUCCACUGAUAAACUCUCCCUUGCUGGACAGGCAGAUCCAGUUGCCUGCCAGGCAUUACUCUUGUCUUAUUUUUUUUUUUUGCUUCAUUUCUGUAUGGGAACUGUUAGGUCACAGCCUGAACUGGUGAGUGUGGGGUGAGCCCUUGUCCUUGGAAAGGGGUGAGUGAUUCCUUCUUUAUUUGAGGUCUGUGAUCUCCGCCUUUCUUUGGGGAUCCCAAACUGGGUUAAGGCAGCUGUAUCUGCUGUGUGUGUCCUUACAAUACCCUUCAGAUCUUUUGUAAGGGAGAUAAUGGGUUAUUUUCUGUUCUUUGAGUUGCUGUUGAAGGAGUUGAUGUGCACUCCUUUUAUUCUACCUCCUUGUUUCUAGACUGCUUCCUUCAGCUCUAAGAUAGUGUUUGUAGGCUGACCAUGUACUGAAGCUCUGGCAAUGCCUCAAGCUGAUGCCCUUUUCCAUAAUGGGGUUCUGAAUUGUCAAGAUCCCAUUUGGACAUAACUUUCUAAUUAAUUUUGGACUGUCUGUAGACUUGCUAUGGCCUGAAACUAUGCAUUUUAUUGCAUUAAAAAAGUCUAAUAGAAAAAUUAGAGAUGGAGAAAGGCAUUUGUAAAUACUGCUUUAAAAUAGGUCGAAGUCAGAGUCUGAGAAAACAUAAAUAUGGCUCUGUGCUUUCUGCUAAUAUGCUUUCAUUUCAUAAUUGUUAUGUUGGCUUGGUAGUUGGAUUUUAGUGUGUGAGUAUUUAAAAACAAUGUAACAGAUGCUGGCAAGAAAAAAUGUAUGACAUCAAUUGGAUUUUUUUUAACAGACAUUCAUAAGCUCUUAGCACAGGUUUUCUGGGUUUGGAGAAGUUUUCCUUCGUUUUCUUCGUCUUUUUUUUUUGUUGUUUUUCCCCUUCUUCUCUAACUUUGUGUUCUUCUGUCAUCAGAAGAAAGAGAAAACGGAACACCAGGACGGGGCUGGGGAGCCGCGCCGAUCCCAUCGGACGAGUUCUUACCGCGGUCUCAGCUGCCACCGCGUGGCCAAUCCGCGGAACUGCCGCUGCCUGCGCUUGGUGACCCAGGCAGUAUGGCGCAUGCGCGCCGAAAAGCGGAAGUGGCGUACAUACGUUCUGGCCACUCCGCGCAGCUAAUCCGCCAACUCUUAUUGUGAUUAGUCCGCCAGGCAGAAGGGCACAUGCGUCUGAAAGAGUACAACGAUCACCCGUCUCUGCGACCCAGUAAAGGGCGGGCGGGGAGUCAAUUGCUGGACCGUCGGCUCAGCGAUAUUCCUCCCUUCCAAUCCAGAAUGGC